CCCCUUGAAAUGCUUGCAUUGAGGAUGGUCUAACAUAUCCGAACCGAAAACCCUAUUACCACCGUCGGAUCUUACUUGCAGCACCCUUUCCGAGCUGGACCAAAUCGAAGACAAGCAGAGCCCACCACCAUCUUGUCUCGACCUAGCAACAAGAGGCCUCGACUCUAUCCCCUCACCUCCUACGCCAGCAGACCGAACAGUUUUUCUAGCCAGCACAUGCUUCAAUCCAGGCGAAUCGAACAAGACCAUAAUCGCUAUCAAAUUCCGAGCCAGCCAACACAGAUCUAAAUAGACCCAGUCGUUAAUCUUUCCAACACAGGUGUAAAGCCUCCUAUCCGCCUUUCGACUUUUGCCACUCUCCGCAAUUCUGAAACUGAUAGCGUGAGUUAAGCCACCUUAACCUAACCACUGAAUUUUCAACAGCGGCAAAACGGCAAGGCGGCUCUUAGCACCAGUCUCGACUAUGGAGAGCAUCUAGGGUAAAUCUACCACUCCACUACACAACUGGAGAAACAAGGCCAACACCCACCGCCGGACCAAAAAACUCAUCUUGUGGACAAUGAAGAGCAGAGAACUUGAAAAGGGGGGAGGGAGGGAGGGAGAGGGCAGAACUCACCGGAGGAAACCAAACCAGAGAAGACACUCCACCUCUCCCUCAGAUCUACAAAGGGCGGCUAGGGUUUUAUAAGAAAGAAGAGUGUUUUUUUUUCCUGCCGCUCAAAGGCCUUCUUUCAUCUUUUUCCAUUGGUCAAACUUUUGAAGAUAUUUUUCCUAAGUGCAACAUGAGGAUAAAUUUUAAAUAUCCAUAAUCUAUAUAUAUAAAGUUAGCUUUUUCUCUCUUCUCAUGAUGCCACCUAAGCAUCCAC
rnacentral:lncRNA from 1 species